CGGCUGGCGGCGAUGGCGGCCGUACGGGGCCUGCGGGUGUCGGUGAAGGCAGAGGCCCCGGCGGGGCCGGCCCUGGGGCUCCCACUGCCGGAGACGGAGUCAGCUUUGGAACGUGGCGAGCCGGAGCCUAUGGAGGUGGAGGAGGGCGAGUUGGAGAUCGUGCCUGUGCGGCGCUCGCUGAAGGAGUUGAUCCCGGACACAAGCAGAAGAUACGAAAACAAGGCUGGCAGCUUCAUCACUGGAAUUGAUGUCACCUCCAAGGAAGCAAUUGAAAAGAAAGAACAACGAGCCAAGAGGUUCCAUUUUCGAUCUGAAGUAAAUCUUGCCCAAAGAAAUGUGGCCUUGGACCGAGACAUGAUGAAGAAAGCUAUCCCCAAAGUGAGACUGGAGACCAUCUAUAUUUGUGGGGUAGAUGAGAUGAGUACCCAAGACAUCUUUGCCUAUUUUAAGGAAUACCCUCCAGCUCACAUCGAAUGGCUAGAUGAUACCUCCUGCAAUGUGGUUUGGCUGGAUGAAAUGACAGCCACACGAGCCCUGAUCAACAUGAGCUCUCUUCCAGCCGUGGAUAAGACAAGAAGCAGAGAUGUCAGUGAAGACAAGUCAUCUGAGAAAAGUAAAAAAGACAAGCAAGAAGAUAGUUCUGAUGAUGAGGCCGAAGAAGGAGAAGUUGAAGAUGAAAACACAAGUGAUGUAGAGUUGGACAUGUUGUCUCAGGUAGAAGAGGAGUCCCUGCUCAGAAAUGAUCUUCGUCCAGCUAACAGACUUGCUAAAGGAAACAAGUUAUUCAUGAGAUUUGCUACAAAAGAUGACAAAAAGGAACUUGGAGCAGCCAGAAGAAGUCAGUAUUACAUGAAAUAUGGAAAUCCAAAUUAUGGAGGCAUGAAAGGAAUUCUUAGUAAUUCUUGGAAGCGGAGAUAUCAUUCCCGUCGCAUUCAGCGGGAUGUGAUCAAGAAGCGAGCCCUGAUUGGGGACGAUCUCGGCUUGGCGUCCUAUAAGCACCGACAUUCCGGACUAGUUAAUGUUCCCGAGGAGCCUAUUGAAGAGGAGGAAGAGGAAGAGGAGGAGGAGGAGGACCAGGACAUGGAUGCAGAUGACAGGGUGGUGGUAGAGUACCAUGAGGAACUCCCAGCUCUCAGGCAGACCAGGGAGAGGAGUGCAUCAAGGAGGUCCAGUGCUAGCAGCUCCGACUCUGAUGAAAUGGACUAUGAUCUAGAAUUGAAAAUGAUUUCUACUCCUUCCCCAAAGAAAAGCAUGAAGAUGACGAUGUAUGCAGAUGAAGUAGAGUCUCAGUUAAAAAACAUCAGGAACUCCAUGAAGGCAGAUACUGUAUCUACAAGCAAUAUAAAAAACCGAAUUGGUAACAAAUUACCAGCUGAGAAAUUUGCAGAUGUUCGACAUCUAUUAGAUGAAAAACGCCAGCACACACGGCCACGGCUCCAAGGCAGCAAUACUAAAUCAGAUGUACGCCAGCGAUUAGGAAAAAGACCACAUUCUCCAGAAAAGUCUUUUAGUAGUAAUGCAGUGGUUCGAAGAGAGCCCUUUUCUGACGUGCACAGUAGGCUCGGUGUUCCCAGGCAAGACAUUAAAGGCCUCUACUCUGAUACCCGGGAAAAGAAAUCAGGUAGUUUAUGGACUCGCUUAGGAUCUGCACCCAAGACCAAAGAAAAGAGCAUGAAGAAAGUGGAUCACAGGGUGCCUGGCACUGAGGAAGAUGACUCCGAGCUGCAAAGGGCAUGGGGGGCUCUGAUUAAGGAGAAAGAACAGUCUCGCCAAAAGAAGAGCCGCUGUUACCAGCACCCUUUCCCCACGAAAAGUCAAUUCCCAGGUGCUUACUGGACAGCCUUCGAGGGGAAAGAUGAGGGGAGCUGCCAGCUCAGCCUUCCAGGGCCCUCGUGUGGGGGUCGAAACUCAUGGACCUGACCUCAGAGGUGCACCAGUUCUGCCCAGCUGCACUGGGGCGCCCAGAUCUUGUAGCAUUUUCAUGUGUGCCACGAGUGUCAAGACCUUUUCUUCGGAGUACAGGGGUGAGGAUGGACAGUCCCCUGUCAGCUUCCUAGGACUAAGAAGCCCAGUGGAAAAUUACAAGUAUUUCCUGCCCCUUGAGCCUCUGGGACAGGGCAGCCAGUGAGCACGGGCAUCGGUGCUUUUGACUCACUCCUUUUACAGCCUGCUAGGCCUGUCUUCUGUAUCUUGUAACUUUUUGAACUUAAAAGAAGAAAAAAAUUAGAUGAUUAUGUUCGAAGAGCUUCAAGGACAAAACAAUGUAACAUUUGGCCAGUUUAUUAUUCACUCCCCUCCCCCGUGAGUCCCCAUUUCUGAGACAUCAACUAUUCAAAUUAUGCCCCUUCCUUGUAAAUAUUGGGUUGUCAGAAGAAUCACGAUGCAUUUGUGUAUACAAAAACAUAGAAAAAUUUGUUGUGUUGUGACUUUUCUGACAACCCGACCCGAUUCAUCAGUGCAUUUCCUUAGGUCUAGGACAUUUGUAUGAUCCUCAUAUAAUGAACAGAAAGUGUGUAACUUUUUUUUCCUAGUCGGCAUACCUGUGUCAGUUUUGCCAACUGUCCAGUGUCUCUGAAUUUAUUUGUAUUGUGAUGUAAUUAACAUAUAAUGCAUUAGUUUCAGGUACACAAUUUGUAUAUGUUGUGAAAUGAUCAGCACAAUAUGUCCAGUUAAUGUCUGUUAUCACAUAUAGCUGUAAGAUUUUUUUCCCCCUGGUCAUGGUUUUUUAUGCAAUGCUGAUUGUCAAAUCUAGGGCUUUCUACAUGAAUGACACUAAGUCACUUUUCUAACUGAAUUUUUAUUGUGUAUUUUGUGAGCAAAAGAAGAAAAGUGAAAAGACUGUUCACCACGCAUGAAACUCCAUUCGUCUCUGUCCUUGGUGCUCUUACAGUGUCAGGGCUCUAACGUAGGGCCUCACGCAUGUCACCUCCCAGGCUUCUUUCUAAACGUUCAUUAUUUUUUAGUGUGCAUCCAGGGAAUGAACUCAGGGCCUUGUGCAUGGACAGCACUGCUGAGUAGCAUCCCCAGCCCAGAUUUCUAUUCAACUUUUAAAGAGAAAGGGUAGAAAAGGGGUGAGAGAAAAAGAAACACCACAGUACUGCUCCACCAUCCAUGGAGCCCACUCAGUGCCGUCUCUGGCAUACACAUAUGGUGAUGGGGCUUGAACCCAGGGCCUCAUGCUCUCUACUAGGUGAGCUAUCUCCCAGCCCCCAAUAAUACUUCUUAAAGCAGUUUUCUUUUUCUCUAGGAUCCAAUCCAAGGUUAUGUACUUUUAGUUCUUUUAAUCUGGAAUAAUUCCUUAGCUUUCUUUUUUGUGUCUUUCAUGCUCUUCAUGCUUUAUGCUGUAGAAUGCCCUGCAAGUUGAUUCCUUUAAUAGGGGUUUACAAUGAGCUAGGGUGGUCAGGGAAAUAACUCAAACAGUAGAGCAUCAGUCUUCCAUGCCUGAGGUUUCCAGUUCAAACCCCGGUGCCGCAUGUACAAGAAUGGUGUAGUGCUGGCUUGUCUCUCCUUUCUCUGUCUCAUGUGAAGCACUCUUACAUGUAAUAAAUAAGUCUUAAAAAUAAACUGUAUUAGGAA